GCCUGGGUGGCUUAGUCGGUUAAGCAUCUGACUUGGACUCAGGUCACCAUCUUGCGGUUUGUGGGUUCAAGCCCCACGUCAGGCU